AAAAAUCUACUCCUACUCUGACUGUGUAUCGUGUGCUGGAUUUUGCACUUGAUUUUAGUUAAAUUUGCUCUUAUAGGACUAAAGGUAUUGUAUAUUGUACUUGCUUUUAUUGUACUAUGCUUAUUGUAAUAUAUAUCUUGUGACUGUAACAGUAAGGUGCCCUAGAUAGGGACAUAACAAUAUUUAGGCAAUAAUGCUUUUUUAAGAGUUACUUGGAAAUGUAUAACAGCUGGUUAACUUAAUAAAUGGUUAGAAUAUGUAAUAACAUCAAUAUGCAUUCUUCCAGUUGCAGGAUGAGAUGAGCAGACAUCUGCAAAAAUCAUUGGAAGGGUUAAAAGCAAAAUGGGAACUUGAGGUCAACAUUAUCUUGAAGUACGGAGAAGAGAAAAAGCUUUUGAACAUUAGCCUUGCAUGGUCACUUGAGAAGAAGACAAGUGAGGCUCUACAGAUCCUGCAAGAUCUCUUUGCUGCAGGAAAAUCUGCACCAACUGGCUUAAAAAAGAGUGAGAUGCUACUGCAGUUUGUGGACGACCUGGAAAAAAAGGAAGAGGCCAUGCAGAAAAGCAAAAAGAGGGAAGUCUGGCUGUUGGGUGUGCCAUCACACAGAAAAUGUUUUGUUUUAAUUAAAGGGCAGCCCCUUUGUGAACUAAAUUCAAUGGUAGAGGCAUUUUUCACUUUGCUUAGUGCCAGCUACACAUUUUCAGUCUGCUACCAUGAGUGUAUAGGACCAGCAAUGAU